GACGAACGCUGGCGGCGUGCUUAACACAUGCAAGUCGAACGGAAAGGCCCUGCUUUUGCGGGGUGCUCGAGUGGCGAACGGGUGAGUAACACGCUAGUAACCUGCCCUUGACUUUGGGAUAACUUCAGGUAACUGGGGCUACUACCGGAUAGGAGCUCCUGCUGCAUGGUGGGGGUUGGAAAGCUUCGGCGGUUGGGGAGGGACUCGCGGCUUAUCUGCUGGUUGGUGGGGUAGUGGCUUACCAAGGCUUUGACGGGUAGCCGGCCUGAGAGGGUGAACGGCCAAAUUGGGACUGAGACACGGCGCUGUGUGCACUGGGAGGCAGCACUGGGGAGUAUUGCCCAAGGGAGGGAAGCCUAAUGCAGGACCCCCGCGUCGGGGAUGACGGCCUGCGGCUUCUAAAGGGCUGUAGCCUGUGACGAAGCGGGAGUGACGGUACCGGGUAAGGAAGAAACGGCUAACUACGUG
rnacentral:rRNA from 1 species